rnacentral:rRNA from 1 species
UACGGGGGGGGCAAGCGUUGUUCGGAAUUACUGGGCGUAAAGGGCUCGUAGGCGGCCAACUAAGUCCGACGUGAAAUCCCAAGGCUUAACCUUGGAACUGCGUCGGAUACUGGAUGGCUUGAAUUCGGGAGAGGGAUGCAGAAUUCCAGGUGUAGCGGUGAAAUGCGUGGAUAUCUGGAGGAAUACCGGUGGCGAAGGCGGCAUCCUGGACCGACAUUGACGCUGAGGAGCGAAAGCUAGGGGAGCAAACGGG